AACCAGUCUCGACAUGAUCCGAAUCAAAAUUAUUUAUCAUUGAGAUUGAAUGCACUCUAAACAGAAGAAUAAGGACUUAACUCACAACCAUGGCUCGAACGAGAUUCAACUAGACUCAAACACAAGGAAGAAGGCUCACGACAUUCGCAUACGGAUUCAAAACGAAGAGUAACAAGACAAACUCGAAUAUAGAAAAACAAAGAAGUGGCAAGCUUAAUCGUAUAAUACCCCUUUUAAUCAACAUUAAGACUAGAUAAAGGUGUAUAUAGCACAUGAGAAUACAAGAAUUCCAUCACUAGUAACAACAUCCAAACAAGAACAGUGAUUUCCUAAUCUCAUAAAUAUCGCACCAAAAUAGAGGAG
rnacentral:lncRNA from 1 species